rnacentral:rRNA from 1 species
AUGCCGGCGAUGAUGGUCCCGAUGGAUGGCAGCAACGGCGAGCUAGAGAUGGAGACUUUGCUCAAGGUGCCGGCCUACAUCUUUGGGGUUAACAGGCCGAGCAUGGCGCGGAAGGUCGUGCUCACCAACGGUACACGGCAUAGCGGCAACCCUUAUCCACUCAUGGACCUAUCUGACUCCAUCUCUUCUUCCGCCAUGGAUCGGAGCUCGACCAUGCCCGCUGGUGCCUUCGCAGUUGUAGUAGAAACUAGAGAGAGGGAGCGAGGGGGUGCCUGUGUCGGACGAUGUCCUGACCAACGCGGGUUCCAUCAUCGUCGACGAGCUGACACGCAAGAGAGGGGGGCAGCUAAAGGGAAAAGGAAAGCAGAGUUACCUCGAAUGCCUUCAGCCCAAUACGCCCAUAGCCUGUGGGCCUUCGAGCGGCUAACAAGCUCAGGCCCAUAUUCUCGAAGCUACCUUCCUAGGGUUUCGCUUCUUGUAACCCCCCAGUGCGCCCCCCUUUCUCCCACUUCCCCCACUCCCCACCACAAGACCGCCGCCGCCGCAGGAGGAGGAGGAGAAGCAGCAGGCGCGAGAAGGAGAUCUCGCGAGGAGGCGACCGACCAUGAGGGCCAAGCGAGCCGGCAGAUCUCGCCGUCUCGCGCUCGUGCCCCCCGUUGCUGCUGCGGCUGCGAUGGGGCGAGCGACUCUAGCCGGUCCGGGAUGGAACGCGAGGUGCCGCCCGACGACGCCUGCGGCGGCGGCGAUGGCGAUGGCGGGGCAUGUUUUGUCUCGUGUGACCUUAGAUCGAUUGAUGUAUCGUAUGGGCUUAGGUAUCUCGUGUUCCGGUUCUCCCGUACCGUGCUCGUCGUGCUUGCGCGCCCGUGCGUGGGUCGUCUGUCUCAUUUGGGUUUCCCUGCCACGGUGAAGUGGAAGAAGAAGCGCAUGAGGAGGCUGAAGAGGAAGCGCCGAAAGAUGAGGCAGCGAUCCAAUUGUAUCAGGAGUUUUGCUAUCAUGACCAAUCUAUCGAACCGUAUGAACUCUGUUUUGGAGCUUUAUUUGCUGCUAAUACUCGGCCAUCAAGAUUUUGAUCCCGGAUGGCAGCCUGGUCUGAAUGUGUGGACAUGGAUACAUUCUGCUUUGGAUGCUAUAAGUCCUGCUUCUUGA